rnacentral:rRNA from 1 species
CAGUCGCCGCGGUAAAACGAAGGGGGCUAGCGUUGUUCGGAAUCACUGGGCGUAAAGGGUGCGUAGGCGGAUUCUUAAGUCAGGGGUGAGAUCCCGAGGCUCAACCUCGGAACUGCCUUUGAUACUGGGGAUCUUGAGUCCGGAAGAGGUGAGUGGAACUGCGAGUGUAGAGGUGAAAUUCGUAGAUAUUCGCAAGAACACCGGUGGCGAAGGCGGCUCACUGGUCCGGAACUGACGCUGAGGCACGACAGCGUGGGGAGCAAACAGGAUUAGAUACCCCAGUAGUCCCUGUCUCUUAUAC